GACGAACGCUGGCGGCGUGCUUAACACAUGCAAGUCGAACGGUAAGGCUCCAGCUUGCUGGGGUACACGAGUGGCGAACGGGUGAGUAACACGUGGGUGACCUGCCCUGCACUUCGGGAUAAGCCUGGGAAACUGGGUCUAAUACCGGAUAGGACCGCACCGUGAGGGUGUGGUGGAAAGUUUUUUCGGUGUGGGAUGGGCCCGCGGCCUAUCAGCUUGUUGGUGGGGUAAUGGCCUACCAAGGCGGCGACGGGUAGCCGGCCUGAGAGGGUGGACGGCCACAUUGGGACUGAGACACGGCCCAGACUCCUACGGGAGGCAGCAGUGGGGAAUAUUGCACAAUGGGCGGAAGCCUGAUGCAGCGACGCCGCGUGGGGGAUGACGGCCUUCGGGUUGUAAACUCCUUUCACCAUCGACGAAGGGUUUCUGACGGUAGAUGGAGAAGAAGCACCGGCUAACUACGUGCCAGCAGCCGCGGUAAUACGUAGGGUGCGAGCGUUGUCCGGAAUUACUGGGCGUAAGGAGCUUGUAGGUGGUUUGUCGCGUCGUCUGUGAAAUUCCGGGGCUUAACUCCGGGCGUGCAGGCGAUACGGGCAUAACUUGAGUACUGUAGGGGAGACUGGAAUUCCUGGUGUAGCGGUGAAAUGCGCAGAUAUCAGGAGGAACACCGGUGGCGAAGGCGGGUCUCUGGGCAGUAACUGACGCUGAGGAGCGAAAGCAUGGGGAGCGAACAGGAUUAGAUACCCUGGUAGUCCAUGCCGUAAACGGUGGGCGCUAGGUGUGGGUUUCCUUCCACGGGAUCCGUGCCGUAGCUAACGCAUUAAGCGCCCCGCCUGGGGAGUACGGCCGCAAGGCUAAAACUCAAAGGAAUUGACGGGGGCCCGCACAAGCGGCGGAGCAUGUGGAUUAAUUCGAUGCAACGCGAAGAACCUUACCUGGGCUUGACAUAUACAGGAUCGCGCCAGAGAUGGUGUUUCCCUUGCGGCUUGUAUACAGGUGGUGCAUGGUUGUCGUCAGCUCGUGUCGUGAGGUGUUGGGUUAAGUCCCGCAACGAGCGCAACCCUUGUCUUAUGUUGCCAGCACGUUGUGGUGGGGACUCGUAAGAAACUGCCGGGGUUAACUCGGAGGAAGGUGGGGAUGACGUCAAAUCAUCAUGCCCCUUAUGUCCAGGGCUUCACACAUGCUACAAUGGUCGGUACAGUGGGUUGCCAGUCCGUGAGGGCGAGCUAAUCCCGCAAAGCCGGUCUCAGUUCGGAUCGGGGUCUGCAACUCGACCCCGUGAAGUCGGAGUCGCUAGUAAUCGCAGAUCAGCAACGCUGCGGUGAAUACGUUCCCGGGCCU
rnacentral:rRNA from 1 species